rnacentral:lncRNA from 1 species
UGAUUUUUAUGGUUUUUUCUACUGGAUGCAAAAGUUUCUGUUUUUCAAUAGGAUUAAAGCAACUAACACCCCACAUGAUCCCAAACGCUUUACUUGGGACAAAAACUAAAUAAAACACAAAAAACACAAUUAUAAUAGUAGAAUAAUUGUGCAAACACUCAAGAAUAGAAAGAAAAAGUGAAAAAUAAAUUGUAUUCAUUGUGUUGCC